UGCCAGCCGCCGCGGUAAUACGGAGGGUGCAGGCGUUGUUCGGAAUUAUUGGGCGUAAAGCGCGUGUAGGCGGUUCGUUAAGUCUGAUGUGAAAGCCCGGGGCUCAACCCCGGAAGUGCAUUGGAAACUGGCGAACUUGAGUACGGGAGAGGAAAGUGGAAUUCCGAGUGUAGGGGUGAAAUCCGUAGAUAUUAGGAAGAACACCAGUGGCGAAGGCGAGUCUCUGGCACGAUUCUGACGCUGAGGCGCGAAAGCUAGGGGAGCGAACGGGAUUAGAUA
rnacentral:rRNA from 1 species